rnacentral:tRNA from 1 species
GGAAGGACAAGCCAAUGGGCGGUGGCCACACUCUUGAAAAGUGUUCGGAGAUAACGACUCGUGUGGGUUCGACUCCCACUCCUUCCG